AUACGGAGGGGGUUAGCGUUGUUCGGAAUUACUGGGCGUAAAGCGCACGUAGGCGGACUGGAAAGUUGGGGGUGAAAUCCCGGGGCUCAACCCCGGAACUGCCUCCAAAACUUCCAAUCUAGAGAUCGAGAGAGGUGAGUGGAAUUCCAAGUGUAGAGGUGAAAUUCGUAGAUAUUUGGAGGAACACCAGUGGCGAAGGCGGCUCACUGGCUCGAUACUGACGCUGAGGUACGAAAGCGUGGGGAGCAAACAGGAUUAGAAACCCUUGUAGUCC
rnacentral:rRNA from 1 species